rnacentral:misc_RNA from 1 species
GGGAGAGAAAAGUCAACAGCCUCAAGAACUCAUCAGGUACCUGUAUGGCCAAAUUCUUGAUUUCCAUUUUCACGUACUAGCUGUCAUCAUUUUUUGUUGCUUAUGUUGUGAAUUCAACAUUCUUAUCAACUGUGCAACCAUUCUUUGGUCACUAUAUAGUUCAAAAUUUCAAGUGGAACUAGUAGAAGCCAACAAUUCUUGCACAAGAUUCAUAUAGCUUUGAAGCAGAGUCAUAUUGUAGCAGCAAGCUAAUACCCAUAUUGAAUUCUGGUAUGGGUAAGGGUGGUGGAUGUGUACCAAGCAAGACAAAGUUGCCCGUAGGAGUAUCUGAUCAAGAUCCUCCCCUUCCAGAAAGAAACUCUCCAAUUAUUACCCAAAACCAAAACCAAAGCGAAAGCGCAACCCAAACCCACUCCACCACAAUCCAGAAUAGCACCACACUAGCACUUAAGAAGCUUAAAAUCUUCAUAAUUUUUUACUCGAUGUAUGGCCAUGUGGAGUUCUUGGCAAGAAGAAUGAAGAAGGGUGUCGAUUCCAUUGAUGGUGUCGAAGCAGUUUUGUUCAGGGUCCCAGAGACACUACCAGUGGAGGUUUUGGAGCAAAUGAAGGCACCCCCUAAGGGAGAUGAGAUUCCUGUGGUGUCAGUUAAUGAGCUAGUCAAUGCUGAUGGGUUCUUGUUUGGGUUCCCAACCAGAUUUGGUUCUAUGUCAUCUCAGAUGAAAGCGUUUUUUGACUCCACAGAUGAAUUGUGGAUGGAACAAAAGCUAGCAGGAGUGCCUGCUGGGUUCUUUGUGAGCACUGGCACGCAGGGGGGCGGGCAAGAGACAACAGCCUGGACAGCAAUUACUCAAUUGGCGCAUCAUGGGAUGCUCUAUGUUCCCAUUGGGUACACUUUCGGAGCUGGAAUGUUUAGAAUGGAUUCCAUUAGGGGAGGGUCUCCAUAUGGUGCUGGAGUCUUUUCUGGAGACGGCUCGAGGCAGCCAACUGAAACAGAGUUGGCUCUUGCUGAGCAUCAGGGAAAAUAUAUGGCUACAGUAGUCAAGAGAUAUGCUAAGCCUUUCUCGCUGGUGUCUGGUAACAACCAUAGCUAGUGUUAAUGAAGCCAAGAUCCAUUUGCAUAUGCACCAUGUUUGUUAAUUAGUUUUGUGCAUGCUUCUCUCUGUUCUUGAGUCAAUAGAUGCAGCAUCUCAGUAGAUCUUAUCUAAACGAUCGAGGAGCUUGUGAUUUUGUAAUUAAAUGUGCACGUACUUCCAAUUUUCACUGGUUCUUCGCGUCUAGCUCCUCAAUGGUUGGAAAUCUUACAUAUUUGUAUAUGGUUUGAAAUUGUCAUUCGAUUGUGUCCGUUUAUUUUUCAUGUAAACUAUUUGAUUGUAAUGUCAUAAUGAUCAAUAAAAUUUGUGAGGGUUUUUUUUAUUGAAAA